CCGAACGCUGGCGGCAUGCCUAACACAUGCAAGUCGAACGAGACCUUCGGGUCUAGUGGCGCACGGGUGCGUAACGCGUGGGAACCUGCCCUUAGGUUCGGAAUAACUCCCCGAAAGGGGUGCUAAUACCGGAUAAUGUCUUCGGACCAAAGAUUUAUCGCCUUUGGAUGGGCCCGCGUUGGAUUAGCUAGUUGGUAGGGUAAAAGCCUACCAAGGCGACGAUCCAUAGCUGGUCUGAGAGGAUGAUCAGCCACACUGGGACUGAGACACGGCCCAGACUCCUACGGGAGGCAGCAGUGGGGAAUAUUGGACAAUGGGCGAAAGCCUGAUCCAGCAAUGCCGCGUGAGUGAUGAAGGCCUUAGGGUUGUAAAGCUCUUUUACCCGGGAUGAUAAUGACAGUACCGGGAGAAUAAGCUCCGGCUAACUCCGUG
rnacentral:rRNA from 1 species